CCUCGGGGGGCUGCAGUGGGGAAUAUUGGACAAUGGGCGAAAGCCUGAUCCAGCCAUGCCGCGUGUGUGAAGAAGGCCUUCGGGUUGUAAAGCACUUUCAGUGGGGAAGAAAGCCUUGGGGCUAAUACCCUCGAGGAAGGACAUCACCCACAGAAGAAGCACCGGCUAACUCCGUGCCAGCAGCCGCGGUAAUACGGAGGGUGCGAGCGUUAAUCGGAAUUACUGGGCGUAAAGCGCGCGUAGGCGGUCUGAUAAGCCGGUUGUGAAAGCCCCGGGCUCAACCUGGGAACGGCAUCCGGAACUGUCAGGCUAGAGUGCAGGAGAGGAAGGUAGAAUUCCCGGUGUAGCGGUGAAAUGCGUAGAGAUCGGGAGGAAUACCAGUGGCGAAGGCGGCCUUCUGGACUGACACUGACGCUGAGGUGCGAAAGCGUGGGUAGCAAACAGGAUUAGAUACCCCUGUAGUC
rnacentral:rRNA from 1 species